ensembl:lncRNA
UAGUGGUUAGAGGGUUGGCAGGUAGCCUAGUGGUUAGAGGGGAGGCAGGUAGCCUAGUGGUUAGAGGGGUGGCAGGUAGCCUAGUGGUUAGAGGGGAGGCAGGUAGCCUAGUGGUUAGAGGGGAGGCAGGUAGCCUAGUGGUUAGAGGGGAGGCAGGUAGCCUAGUGGUUAGAGGGGAGGCAGGUAGCCUAGUGGUUAGGGGGGGGGGCAGGUAGCCUAGUGGUUAGAGGGGAGGCAGGUAGCCUAGUGGUUAGAGGGGAGGCAGGUAGCCUAGUGGUUAGAGGGGCGCCAGGUAGCCUAGUGGUUAGAGGGGCACCAGGUAGCCUAGUGGUUAGAGGGGAGGCAGGUAGCCUAGUGGUUAGAGGGGAGGCAGGUAGCCUAGUGGUUAGAGGGGGGUGGCAGGUAGCCUAGUGGAUUAGAGGGGAGGCAGGUAGCCUAGUGGUUAGAGGGGCGGCAGGUAGCCUAGUGGUUAGAGGGGAGGCAGGUAGCCUAGUGGUUAGAGGGGAGGCAGGUAGCCUAGUGGUUAGAGGGGAGGCAGGUAGCCUAGUGGUUAGAGGGUAGGGGCGGCAGGUAGCCUAGUGGUUAGAGGGGGCAGGUAACCUAGUGGUUAGAGUGUAGGGGCGGCAGGUAGCCUAGUGGUUAGAGGGGAGGCAGGUAGCCUAGUGGUUAGAGUGUAGGGGCGGCAGGUAGUCUAGUGGUUAGAGUGUAGAGGCAGCAGGGUAGCCUAGUGGUUAGAGGGGAGGCAGGUAGCCUAGUGGUUAGAGUGUAGGGGCAGCAGGGUAGCCUAGUGGUUAGAGUGUAGGGGCGGCAGGUAGCCUAGUGGUUAGAGGGGAGGCAGGUAGCCUAGUGGUUAGAGGGGUGGAA